rnacentral:lncRNA from 1 species
AAUUAUCGAACAACAAGAUAACAUAUUUUUCUCCUUUUAUAAAAGGAAAACACAGAAGAUCCUUGGGCAAGUUUUUUGAGAGAACCAAAUACUCUCUAUCUCGCCAAUUCUUUUUCACUGUUCUCAAAGCUCUAGUCACUUAAGCAUCGAAGGGUCCUAUUAGAAAACCUCCGAUGAUCGGACUUUUCUUUUAGGUCUUAGAUGUAUCCAAUUGUCCUCAGUUUCCACCGACCGACAAGUUCCAUCUCAUACGAGCACCGACCUCAGCUAUUCUUUGGAUCGAAGCCUUGCGGCAACAAUUUGACACUAGAGGGAGAGCUUAAUCCAAAGAUAGAAAGAGAAUAAUGGUAAGAACCAGAGUGCAUAACAACUCCGUCACUUUUCGUUGACAAUCCCCCCGAUGAAGAUUUGGCGGUGCUGCUUAGGCAUCUGCUCCUCAAGGGCCCAUACAACCACUCGUGAUGACAAACCCAUAGUAGUUUGAUGGAGCGUCACCCAAAGCCGUGCAUCAACUCCAACAAAUGACGGAGCAGCGACAAUUCCAGCAACCUACUCCUUAGGCUAUGCACUUUCAGCACAACCAUCGAAACCACUCCCGAGUUCCAGAGAAUAUCCCCCGGAGCAUGCACCAAUCUAUCCCCAUUGAAUGGCAAUCACCAUCCUAUUAGGGUUCUAGGCAUGAGGAAUGAUACCGACUCUCUCCGACCUCUUCUAGUAAAGAUUCAACUCGAGGCUACUCUCCACACUUUGGAAAAUCUCACUAGGCG